GCUAUUUUUUUUUUAGUUUUUUGUUUUUCUUUGACUUGUUUUUCUUUCUUGAUUUCUUUAUUUUUCUUUCUUUUAUUUUCCUUUCCUAUUUGCUACCUUGAUUUUUCUUAAUGCCGCAUCACCCUCUCUUUCUGUUUUCUUAGGUACGACUCUUACUUUUCUAGAACUCUCAAUUCCUUCAUUUUUCCCCUCCCACCAUCAGCCUCCAUCACCUAUUGCUAGAAUCAUCUCUACUCACCAACCUUCAAAAACUUAAAGCAUUGUUAGAGCUUUUUUCCCCAAAUAAUUUUGCGGACAAGCAUGGAAAUUUCUUUAUUUUGAACCUUCUUAAUCU
rnacentral:lncRNA from 1 species